AGAACGAAAGUCAGAGGUUCGAAGGCGAUCAGAUACCAGCCUAGUUCUGACCGUAAACGAUGCCACCUGACGAUCCGCCAGGGUUACUACCAUGACUCGGCGGGCAGCCCCCGGGAAACCCAAGCCUUCGGGUUCCGGGGGAAGUAUGGUUGCAAAGCUGAAACUUAAAGGAAUUGACGGAAGGGCACCACCAGGAGUGGAGCCUGCGGCUUAAUUUGACUCAACACGGGAAACCUCACCCGGCCCGGACACCGCGAGGAUUGACAGAUUGAGAGCUCUUUCUCGAUUCGGUGGGUGGUGGUGCAUGGCCGUUCUUAGUUGGUGGAGCGAUUUGUCUGGUUAAUUCCGAUAACGAACGAGACUCUAGCCGGUUAAGUAGCCCGGAGCGGUUUUUGAUCUUUGCCGUCCGUCCUCCGUCCUACCUUUUUUUUCCCGUCCUCGGCCGACCGGCCACGGAGGGAAAAGGGAAAGGCGAGGAGGUGGUCAUCCGUGGUGGUUUUUCUGUUCCGUGCACGUUCGCCUUUACCGGCGGGCGUCGUGCGGGCGGUACCCUUCGGGGAAACCGUCACUUCGUUUCCUCCCUAACCUUUCGCCCGCGAGGUCGAGACGGAAAGGGUGGUCGAGGCGGAAGCAUAACCGAAGGCCGCCGGCUUUUACAGGAAGCUUCUUAGAGGGACGAGCGGCGUUCAGCCGCCCGAGAUUGA
rnacentral:rRNA from 1 species